AAUCCAAUCCCGAUCUCAGUUUCAACUCCCCCAAAAAUUUCAAAUGAAUCCCAACCCCUAGCUUCCAAUUUCACACCGUUUUCUACUCUCAGAUUCCUCCAUCAGGACCAUCACAUCCAACUCUCCAAACACCAUCGUUCCCCAGCCCCUCUGUCGCCUCUCCCGCCAUCAUCAGAUUCUAUGACAACGGCGUCAACUCCAUAAACUGAAGUUCCCAAAUUAAAGACCCCAAAUCCUCCUGAUGGUGCGUUUGGCUUCUGAAUCGUGGAUAUUUGGGAUCAAAUUCGUUGGCUUCUGAUUCAUUGGGUGUGAUUAAGCAACGGAAUGGGUUGGAAUUUCAUCAACAAUCGUCCAUUCACAACUGGAUGUGAUGCUCUGGUUUAACCUGAAGUGGAUACACCAGCUAUCAGCUGGAAUCAAAUCUUGGUGAGGCCCAACCUCGGAAAAAGCAAACUUAAUAAAAUAGGAGCUCUACAGGAACAAGUGUGUUGGACCAAGAACAAUCACCAGCAGAUGAUGCAAAUCUUUGUUCUAAAUAGCAGUUUAUGCUGUUCCACUUUGUAGAUUAUUUUGGAAAGUGGUGGUUGCCGGUGAUGAUCUUACUCCAAAGUCCACAACUACAUUGGGUUCUAGUUAUCUACACAUACACCCGAAGUUUCUUCAUUCGAAUGCUACUUCUUACAAAUGGGCAUUUGGUGGUAUGCUGAACUUAACUUGGUCUAUGAAACCGAGUUAAUCUCUUAAUCCAUAAGUUAGUUAGUUAGUUUAGAAUAGAUAGAUUAGAUUUAUUAUUACAAGGCGGUUACAAGCGGUUAUGAAACUAAGGGACCAAAGUUGACAAAGGAGAACUUGGUAACCACCCCACUAAUCGAAGAGGUGUGUCUCUACACACACAUCCCUCUGCGGAUCGAUGCAAGGCAAAGAAGGAAGGGACAUGACGGUUCGGAUUAAUGGCUGAGAAUCAACAUACCUUUUCAAGAUCAAUCUCAACCACACAAUCCAAGAGACAUACCCUUUCACGAAGAGUUGUGUCUUUUCAUUCGUACCUUUUAGAAACUAUAAAUAGAGAUAGUUUGAUUUCAUUUGUAUUCACUACUCUCAUUCGAUUUGUAUGUAUUACACUUAUUCGAUUAUUAUCAAGUUGUUGUUAUUCAAGUUUGUUAUUCACGCUCGUUAGAGAUCAAGAUCCAAGUUCGGGCCAACAAAUUGGUAUCAGAGCAUCAGGCUCUAGGCGUGGGAAUCGCAAGGCAUCGCAGGGAAUUCGCGAUCAGGUUUCAAUUUCGUUUAAAUUCGCAAAGUUUCAAUUUCAGAAUUUAUUUUCGGUUCUAGGAAGUCGGUUGAACCGAACGGUUAGGAAUCUAGGGUUCGUUUGUUUUGAUUCCGGGGUUAUAGUGCGAAUUAGAUUGAUUUGGUUGUUUUGGUUAUUACACGAUUCGGGGAAUCGGGGUUGUUAAGAAUAUAUUGAAACCAAAAGAAAGUUUAUUAGAAAGUGAAGAUUAUUAGGCAGG